rnacentral:rRNA from 1 species
AUGUCACGUCGAGGUACUGCAGAAAAAAGAACUGCAAAAUUCGAUCCAACUUUUCGUAAUCGAUUAGUUAACAUGGUGGUUAACCGUAUUAUGAAAGACGGGAAAAAAUCAUUGGCUUGUCAAAUUCUCUAUCGAGCCGUGAAAAAGGUUCAACAAAAGACAGAAACAAAUCCACUAUUGGUUUUACGUCAAGCAAUACGUAACUCCCAAUAUAGGAGUAAAAACAAGACGUAA